AUUGAACGCUGGCGGCAGGCCCAACACAUGCAAGUCGAGCGGAUGAAGGGAGCUUGCUCCUGGAUUCAGCGGCGGACGGGUGAGUAAUGCCUAGGAAUCUGCCUGGUAGUGGGGGGUAACGUCCGGAAACGGGCGCUAAUACCGCAUACGUCCUGAGGGAGAAAGUGGGGGAUCUUCGGACCUCACGCUAUCAGAUGAGCCUAGGUCGGAUUAGCUAGUUGGUGGGGUAAAGGCCUACCAAGGCGACGAUCCGUAACUGGUCUGAGAGGAUGAUCAGUCACACUGGAACUGAGACACGGUCCAGACUCCUACGGGAGGCAGCAGUGGGGAAUAUUGGACAAUGGGCGAAAGCCUGAUCCAGCCAUGCCGCGUGUGUGAAGAAGGUCUUCGGAUUGUAAAGCACUUUAAGUUGGGAGGAAGGGCAGUAAGUUAAUACCUUGCUGUUUUGACGUUACCAACAGAAUAAGCACCGGCUAACUUCGUG
rnacentral:rRNA from 1 species